rnacentral:rRNA from 1 species
UACGUAGGGUGCGAGCGUUGUCCGGAAUUACUGGGCGUAAAGAGCUUGUAGGUGGUUUGUCGCGUUGUUCGUGAAAUCUCACGGCUCAACUGUGAGCGUGCGGGCGAUACGGGCAGACUAGAGUACUGCAGGGGAGACUGGAAUUCCUGGUGUAGCGGUGGAAUGCGCAGAUAUCAGGAGGAACACCGGUGGCGAAGGCGGGUCUCUGGGCAGUAACUGACGCUGAGAAGCGAAAGCGUGGGGGAGCGAACAGG